CACUGCAAUCUGGGACACUUUUCCUAGUCAUGCCUAAGGAGCCAAUUAUUGGGUUGUCUGAAGCAGAAGGUUCUGGUGAAUCUGAAGUAAAGUAGCAGGAGUGACAUGAACCAAUGAAGAGUCAAUUUUUGCGAGGAGAGUGCAACGAUGACCCAGGCAGGGCCGGUGUUGGGACCUAACGAUCAAGUGUGCUGCUUGUCCUGUCCUGAGCACCCAUCUUGAUGGAAUGGAGCCCAAGUUGCAGCCUGUUGGAAAAAGAUCCGUGGACUCCGGCGGGGGGAGGAAGAAAUUGCAGUCCAGCCAAUAUGGUUGAUAAAAGCAAGCUCCGUUUAUUAGCAAUCCAGAGGCACUUAUAUAGUAUACCAGCUUGUUAACUCUUAAGUGGCUUAAAACUUAUCCAAGCGCAUUUCUGCUUCUACAUAAUUGGACUACAUUGGCAAGCUUCUACAGUUAUGUUAUGAUUAAAAGAAUUCAGAGUUCACCCUCCCUUCUCUCCUGCUGAGAAGUGGGAGUCAGAGUGGAUUGGUGGACAUCUGGCAUACAGCCAAGGUCAACCCAUCACAGAUGCUUUGUAUACUGUCCAGGUGUCACAGGAGAAGAAUCAGAGAUCAAUCGGACAGAUCUGAUCUAGUAGUUAGUUUACUGAGCUCUAAUCAGUAAAUUUAUGUACAUAAAAUUUUUAAUAAUUACAGAUGGAUUGUCAGUCAAUAGCUAUUUGCUACACUUAAUUUCAGUAUGGUAUUGUUGGGGGUUUUGGGAGUUCCCCUUCUGGUUUUUUUUCCCCCUCUUGAAGAAUUUUCCCCAUAUAUGUUGCUGGGGGCGACAAAUUGCUGGGUAUUUGGGGAGGACAAAGGACCUAGCCACUGAGGGUGUGGUCCAACGGGCUACUCGCUUUCACCUGGGUGUGUGGGCGGUUGGUGCUCCGAGUUCAGACAGAGAGAGAGGCUGCUUCCAUCUCGUCAGCACUGCAGGCUUUCUGCUUUCAGCUGCCUUCUUUCUACCAGAGAAACCCCAGGAUUCCCAAACCCGCCUUUCCCUGCCCCUGCUGCUGCGUUCGAGCCUUCGCUACUCUGUAGCGCCUGCAUGUCCUGCCUGCCGAGACCUCCCAGGGUCCCCACCGCAGAUCUGGAGUUCAAUGCAUCUUGUCUGCCAUCCGGGAUUUGUGCUUGUCCCUGCUGUUCCAGCCUGCUUUUCCCGAGGGUCUGGCCGGACACCGGGAUCGGCUGCCCAGGGGGUUUGUGAAGCCUUUGUUCCAUCCCUCCUCAGGACCCCAAGCCGUCAUUGCCGCAUGCUCCCCGAGCUUGCUCCGGAGCGCUCCCUGUAGCUGCGGGGGAACCAUCACACCUGCCCUGCUCACCAGGAGCCGCCAGCGCCCCUGCCAGCUGCGAGCGGAACUGCACCCAAGGGGAA